CUCGUCUCAGCAAGCAGAUGGGAGGCACCUGGCACAGCGUGGCGUGGAGCAGGAGCCACGUGGGGCCGGCGAGGUUGCCAAAGAGUGGAGGAAAUACCCUUGCAGGUGGCUUCUUUAUCACUGGAUGAAGCAGAAAUUUGGGAGCAGCCUGGGCUGAUUGUUCGAAGAGGUGGUAACAUUGAAGGCUGCUGGCCCUGAAGGCAACCACCAGCUGGGGCUGUCUUAGAUAGACAAAAAGGAUUGGCUCACACAUGCCCACAGUGUCCUGUUGAUCAUCCACACUUUCUUCUUACUCACGGGAAGUGAAGAAGCUCCUUACAGACUACAGUGGGGAAAUCUGACGUAAAGAAGGUUGGAGUUGUUUUGAAUGGACCCCUGAAUAAGUUGUCACAGCCAAAGCAAAGAUCUCUGAAUGGCUGCAAGGUAUUUGGGGCAGCCACAGCUGUCAGAGAGAGAAGAAAGAAAGAAAAAGUACCUCUUAGGGAGUGUUGAUACCUUCUCUUCUGUCUCAGAGGCUAUGGGAAAAUGAACGAUUCUUCUAUGGUCAUUUGAAUAUUGAAAAGCACAGAUUAGUCACCAAGAACAGUGCUGAUGUUCAUGGAGAAACAAUGCCAAUGGUUGGCCCCCAAAUCAGAAACCACUAUUUGUUCACUGAGCCCAGUUAUCAGAGCCCAACACUCCAAUUUAGCCAGCACACCGUCUGUCCAUCUAGAACUAUGCUAUUCAAUAUGGCAGCUACAACCCACAUGUGGCCCUUACACUAAUUAAAAUUAAAUGAAAUAAAACCUUCAAUGUAUCACAUUCUUCCCUUUCCAAGAGCUCAGCAUCUACACGUGCUCAUGGCUACCACAAAACAGUGCUGACUUAGCACAGGGAUUUAGCUCAGUGGUUCCAGUGCCUGCCUCGAAAAGUGCAAGCUCCCGAGUUCAAUCCCCAGUACAAAAACAACAACAAAAAAAACAGUGCUGACUGUCAGACAUUUGCAUCAUCACGGGAAUGUAUUUAUUUACUUGUUUUUUAUUUAUUUUCUUUCCUUUUUUUGUUUGUUUAUUCGUUGGGGGCGGGGACAAAGUCUCACUAUAUUGCCCAGGUUGAUCUCAAACUCCUGGACCAAGAAAUCCUUCUGCCUCAGCUUCUGAGUACUGGGACUAUAGGCACCCGCCACCAUCCCCUGGCUAUUGCUAUUGCAGUGUACAACCUAGAGGCUGCUUUGCAAAGACCCAGACAGUAUUCUUUCUAAAGAAAGGACGAGGAUAUUUGGAAUCUUCUUUUAAUUACAUGACAAAAGCAAGGGUACUGAUUUGUUGUUAACAACUACGUCUGGUUGUGCUUCCUUGCACUGAAGCGAUUUGGUCAGAUUUUUCCUACUGUUUGCCCAUCAGAAAAAAAAGUCCCAUUAAUCCACACAUCCCCCACUUGGAUCUCAAACCAGUCACGACAUCUGACAGCUGUAAACUCUCACCCUGGAGAUUUCUAACUCAACAGGUUGAAUCCCAGAUCCUGUUUCUGUAUGUUUCAAUGUCACUGGUGUGUGUAUUUCCCAGGGAGCUGCAAAUGGAGAAAAAGAAGGCGAAGAGACUGGAAAUAGCAGCCACUACCAAUGACUACAUGCUCUACCCAGCCAGGACUGUUACAGGCUUCAUCACUGCUCUGGGAAGCAUGUGUGAUACACAGAGGUGACAGCCAGGGCUCACAGAAGUGAUGCCUCCUGCCCAGUCCACACAGGAAAUAAGUAGAGAAUAUGAACACGGACUGUCUCACCGCAAACCACACAUCCACCUUCCUCCUGUGGCUUACCUGCUCUAAAGCAAGCCAAGGAGAGACCUUGAUUCCUGCAUAGAUGGAACAGUAACUCUGCCCACCGGGAAGUUUAUCAUGACAUUUAUCAAGGCCUACAGCCUACUGGCAAUGAAUUCGUGCUGAUGAUAGAUCAAAGGCGAGUGGAGGCUAGGGAAGAAUAACAGCUGGAUGUGGGCAGAGGAAAAGUUCAAAAAACAAAGCAAAACAAAAUAGAACUAGCCAUGUGUGGUGGUGCACGCCUGUAACCCCAGCACUCAGGAAGCUGAGGCAAGAGGGUUGCCUGAGUUCAAGGCCAGCCUGGGCUACAUAGUGAGUUCAAGGCCAGCCUAAACAAUGUAGUGAAACCCUGCCUCAAAACAAAACAAAACAAAACAAAACAAAACAAAACAAAGCAGAACUAAAGACAAGAAAUUCUUCCACGGGAAACUCUCUAACCAGGCCCCAAUGCCCACCUUCAUAACCACGGCCACGUGGCUCACAGUGACAGGUUUCUUCUCCAUCUUGUCCCCCAGAGCCCAGUGCUGCAAUGAUGGAAAUGUCUCUAUCUGUACCACCCACACAGCCAUGGCCACAGGCACCUACUUCAGCCCUUGAAAUGUGGCACAUGUGAGUGAGGAGCUGAAUUCUAAAUUCUAUUUCAUUUUAGGAAAUUUUCACUCAUGUGAAUGUAGCCACAGGAGGCACUGAGCUACCCCAUGGAAUAUCGCAGCACUAAAUGGUCAGUUAUGAAAGGCCAGCACAGGGCCUUCUGCUUUUGUGUCCCCCCAACCUAUUACAUGUAAAUGAGUUGUUUGGGGGAUGCCCUCCAGGGUCAGAUGGCCUGGGUCCAAACCUCUGCUCAAGAAAACUCGAGGAAGUGACUUGAUCCUGUUUGUUCCCAAUGUUUGCCUCUGUAAAAUGGAGCAUCAUAAGAGAGCCUUACAAAAUGUUUAAAAGUAUUGAAUAAGUGGAGAGCAGUUAGAUGUUCAUUGCACGAUCUCUUCAACUUGUCUGUAGUUAUGAAGCUUCUCAUAAUAAAAGCUGGAAAACAGAGCUACUUCAUACUUUGCGGCAUCUGAGUUCCCAGUGAUGCAGAUACAGUGCCCACAUAGUCCCUGGUACAUAGAAAUAAGGGGUGUCUUUAAAGAAUCCAACAGGCAUUUACUAGGCAAGUAUCCACCUUCUGUAAGGUGGAAGAGAUGGAGACAUAAAGACAAAAUAAAUAAUAACACUUGCCAGUUGUGAUGGUAUAUGUCUGCUGAUCCAGCUACUCAGAAGGCUGAAGCAGGAGGCUCACUUAAGCCCAAGAGUUUAAGGCUGGCCUGGCAACAUAGUGAGAU